rnacentral:misc_RNA from 1 species
UUGCGGAGGUAGGACCACAGU